rnacentral:tRNA from 2 species
CGGGGUGUAGCUCAGUUGGUAGAGCAUCUGGUUUGGGACCAGAGGGUCGCACGUUCGAGUCGUGUCACCCCGA